rnacentral:rRNA from 1 species
GGGUUAGUAGGUUGGUCAUGCCUCUGGUAUGUACUGGUCUCACUGAUUCCUCCUUCCUGAUGAACCUUAAUGCCAUUAAUUUGAUGUUUUGGAGAAUUUGGACUGUUACUUUGAAAAAUUAGAGUGUUUAAAGCAAGCUAAUGCUUGAAUACAUUAGCAUGGAAUAAUGAAAUAGGACGUUCGGUCCUAUUUUGUUGGUUUCUAGGAUUGACGUAAUGAUUAAUA